UACGUAGGGUGCAAGCGUUGUCCGGAAUUAUUGGGCGUAAAGAGCUCGUAGGCGGUCUGUCGCGUCGGCUGUGAAAACCCGGAGCUCAACUCCGGGCCUGCAGUCGAUACGGGCAAACUGGAGUACUGCAGGGGAGACUGGAAUUCCUGGUGUAGCGGUGAAAUGCGCAGAUAUCAGGAGGAACACCUGUGGCGAAGGCGGCCCCUGGCCGGCCCUGACACUGAGACGCGAAGGCGUGGGGAGCGAACGGG
rnacentral:rRNA from 1 species